rnacentral:lncRNA from 1 species
CUCUUCCCGGCAUGGGUUUCUGCCCAGCUCACCCGCUGUCAGCUGGGGUCCUGCUCUGGUGGGAGGAAGAGGCUCAGACGCUUCCCUGCCCUCUCGCCUCAACCACCUCGAGGCAGCGGCUCCCAGGAUGUGCACUUUGACGACUAAAGCUGAGCCGGCGCCGCCACGACCUUGGGCGGGUGGUCGGCCUCUGCCCUGAGCAGGAAGUAGAAAGUCUCAGCAGACCCUUCCUGAGGGCCGAGCAACAGUGUAGUGGCGUAUUCCACAUAGCAAACAGGUGAAUUCCUUGGAAGAUGAGGGCCAAGUCUUAUUCUUCUCAGUCUCUUCUGCAUCUAGCAGAAGAAUAAUGGUUGCACAGAAAAUCUUGGUUCAGUGGUUGAGUGAAUGAAUGGAUGAACAGGCUCUUGCACACAAAGAAGAGACAUGAUGUAUUUGCAUCCUUCCCUGCUUCAGCCAGGUCCCCAGACAGUCCCGGUGUGCACACUUCCCUGCUUCUGUUCAUGAUGUUCUCUGAACCUGGGAUCACCUUUCCCCUUCCUCUUACCUGCCCGAUCCUACUUGUCCUCCCAGAUUCAGUUUUCUGAAGCUCAGAGGGACACCUUGUAUUGCUGGAUGAUAAAAACAGGAGCAAAGUGAUGAAGUGCUGACAAGGCAACAAUAGAACAUGAGAGAUUCACUGCUGUGUAGGAAGAGAUCUUCGGUGACCAUGUAGCCUGAAGCUCUCAUUUUGUCAUCGAGGGACACCAAAACUCAGAACAGUGCUAAGCUCCUACAUCCUGUUCUGGAAGGACAAUCCUGAGCACACGAUGAGCCAUAUAAACUUCAGACUGACGCUGAGUGAAAGAAUGCUGGAAAAGCAUCACAGGCCAGGGCAGCAAAGUCUUCAAGGUCAUCCGUGCUCUGAUGAUGUCACGCUUCUUCCCUGUCUGGAAGACAUUUCCCCAAGAGCAUACCACCAACAUCAGGGAAAUGGAAUCCAACUGGUCGCUGCAAAGUUUGCUGAGCACACAGUGAUAAAGAUGGCAAGAAGGUCCUGAGAGAAACGCAAUAUUUUUGUGCAGAAUGGGAUGUUCUGCCUUUGUCCCAUGCUUUGAAAUUUACCACAUGAAAAAUAAAAUUAAAUACUGAUCAUCA